CUAGCUUGUUUAGCUGGUGGUGUUUGGGAUGGACAAAUUUGCAGUUUGCUCCCUUUUCCCUGAGCCAACAGGUACCAUGUAGGUAGAAUUUACAGAUAAUCUGUUUCUUUGCGUAACAUGCUUGGGCUUGAGGCUUGUUAGUGUUCACCAUUUCUUCGUCUUUGGCUACUUUGUCUGUUCUCCUGUCUCUGUCUUUUGGUGUGGUACUGUGUUAAUUGCAUUCACCAUGGCCAUUGCAGCUUUCAGUAGCGGUUAUAGCACUGGUGGCAUUUUCCUUGUUUCGGUCAUCGGUUUGGCCUUCCUGAGUUUGAGCACAGCGUUUAUGGUUCUUUUCUUGGUUGGUGACAAGUGGUCGAAGUCUGACACAAGUUGUAUCUUGUUGAAGUUUUCGGUUUGUUUUCUUCUAUGUAGAUUUCACUGUAGGUAUUAUCUACGAAUUUGUCAAUGUAUGACUUCCAAAUGGUUAACCACAUAAGUGGAUUUAACUCGACUUUUCCCCAGUCUGUUAGUUGUAGCAUGUCUUUGCUUGUUUCGUAGAGGAAUAGUCUGUUCUUCAAUGCGCUUUCUUCCUGCAUUACCACUCUCCAUGGUUCCUGAUUGGAUGUUGAUAAGCAAGGUGUGCGUUUCAGAAUACGUUCUGGGCUAUGUUUUAUGUUAAUAUAAGUAUCAGUGCCCUCAAAUAUACAUUUAGCCUCCUCGACGUUGUUUGUGGCAAACCACAUUUCAUCGGUGUAUAUCAGCGUUUUAUCCACGCAAGAUCCAAAUGUAAAGUUGUCUGAAGCCUGACAUCUCAUACGUCUGCAAUUCACGAGUCCGUUCCUGAUGCUUCUCAGAAUGUAACUCUUUCCAGAGUUGGAGACGCCUGUGGUGUGUAGUCCGUUAACCUUGGGGUUGAUUUUAUGACAAAUUUCAAAAGUUUGUCUGCUGAAAGUGUCUGCAUCGAUGUUGUGACGUUGUAACCACUCGUCGUAAAUGUCCAGGGAGGUUUGAACAUCGUGGUAAUUGUUUGCGUUCUGUGUGAAGUAUGAUUUUUUAUGUCUGAUUUGUUCCCAUAUGGGUGUAGUCAGUGCUUCGAUGUUGGUGUCCGGAGCUGCUGAUUGGAUGAGGGCAGUGAAGUUUGGUGUUUUUCAGUAAAUGUUUAUCCAUUUUUGUUUCUGGUGAUGUUUAUUGCUUGUUUUGCAAUACUUAAUAAUAUCACCGAGGUCUGUGCUGCAGUAUUUCUUCAUGAUUUUCUUAAUGAAAUCAUACUUCUGCCCGCGAACUGUGCGUGUGUUCAACACUUUUCCUUCGUCGGAUUCUGAUCCUGAUUCUGUGUUUUGAAUAUCUUUGUCCGUUAGUUCCUUGAGCAUUAAUUUCUGUCCCUCCGUGGUGAUGUUAUCAGCGCUUACUACCCAUCUGAUGGAGUUAUCUUGGUUAAGGUAAUUAGCAAAGCCUUGAGGCGUGAAUACUUUCGUUGCAGCCAUGUUGUAUGGCUUUUCUAUAUUAUUUUUUAAUAUGUUUUAAGCAUGGUGAAGCUGUGUAGGUUUGUCGGGUGAUCUUUAUGCCAAGAAAUAAUAUGAAAAUGUGGUUGGUCGUAACAAUGUUUAAUGCUCGAUAACGAUUUUUUGUGAUGCUGGGAUGCUUGGAUAG